rnacentral:rRNA from 1 species
AAUAGAUACCCGGGUAGUCCACGCCGUAAACGAUGAGUGCUAAGUGUUAGAGGGCUUCCACCCUUUAGUGCUGCAGCUAACGCAUUAAGCACUCCGCCUGGGGAGUACGGCCGCAAGGCUGAAACUCAAAGGAAUUGACGGGGGCCCGCACAAGCGGUGGAGCAUGUGGUUUAAUUCGAAGCAACGCGAAGAACCUUACCAGGUCUUGACAUCCUUCGCUACCUCUAGAGAUAGAGGGUUCCCCUUCGGGGGACGGAGUGACAGGUGGUGCAUGGUUGUCGUCAGCUCGUGUCGUGAGAUGUUGGGUUAAGUCCCGCAACGAGCGUAACCCUUGACCUUAGUUGCCAGCAUUCAGUUGGGCACUCUAAGGUGACUGCCGGUGACAAACCGGAGGAAGGUGGGGAUGACGUCAAAUCAUCAUGCCCCUUAUGACCUGGGCUACACACGUGCUACAAUGGAUGGUACAAAGGGUCGCGAAACCGCGAGGUGGAGCCAAUCCCAAAAAACCAUUCUCAGUUCGGAUUGCAGG